CCCUUAGAUGUUCUGGGCCGCACGCGCGCUACACUGAUGCAUUCAACGAGUCUAAAACCUGCUCUGAUAGGGGUGGGUAAUCUUUUGAAUGCGCAUCGUGAUUGGGAUAGAUGAUUGCAAUUUUUCAUCUUCAACGAGGAAUGCCUAGUAAACGCAAGUCACCAGCUUGCAUUGAUUACGUCCCUGCCCUUUGUACACACCGCCCGUCGCUCCUACCGAUUGAAUGAUCCGAUGAAUAUCAUGGAUUGAGGAUUAUAGCAGGUUCGCCUGUCUUGAUCUUCGAGAAGUGAAGUAAAUCUUAUCAUUUAGAGGAAGGAGAAGUCGUAACA
rnacentral:rRNA from 1 species